rnacentral:sRNA from 1 species
GCUGGGUGCGGUGGCUCACUCCCGUAAUCCCAGAUGCUCAGGAGGCUAAGGCAGGAGGAUCGUGAGUUCAAAGCCAGCCUCAGCAAUGGUGACGUGCUAAGCAACUCAAUGAGACCCUGUCUCCA